CAGCAAUGGCGCCACUGAGAGAUCCCGUCGCGAUCCCGAGUUAAGUUUGAAGACGUUGGUUUGGCGGUAUCGGUUGUCGUUGCAAUAAUGUCUUCAGUUCAGCAUCUGAGAGAGUUUAUCAAGAAGAGAUUAACUUCAGCUGCAGAAGAAAUCUUCUCAGAGUUUGAAAAAACGAUCGUCCGGUAUGAGGAGGAGAUCCGUCAGCUAAGACUGCUUGAUAUCAGACCCGGGAUAAAGUCACACAAUACAGGUCUGGAUGAUCAGCAGAUCUGUUACCAGGAGAGGAGUCUCAACCAGGAGGACCCAGAGCCUCCACAGAUUAAAGAGGAACAGGAGGAAAUGUGUAGCAGUGAGGAAGGAGAGCAGCUUGAACUGAAGCAGGAGGAUGAAGGGAUUCAUGUCUGGACCGGAGAACAGCUGGAUUUGUUGUGGAAACCUGGACUAAAGCUGACCAGAAUAGGUAUGUAAAAGUGUAAUAUACAGAUUUCAUAAUAUGGAAAUGAAUAUGACUCAUAACAAAAUGUCACAAAGACACAUGGCGUGCAUUACCGCCUGGGAUACUGCCUCACUGAAGACAUGUUUUCUGUUAGCACAGUAAAAUAAAAACUGGGUUUCAAAUCUUCUGUUGUUUAAUAAAAAAAUAAAAUUUCCACCAGAUUUAAGUCAUGUUAUCCCAGAAUUGUACGCAGUAUGUAGAAAAAUGUUGAGACAAUGAAAACUGUGGAUUAUUGGCCACAAGGACCAAGUUGGAGCAGCGAGCUGUACGCCUCAUAAAUGAUGACUUUCUGCAUGUAAACAGAAUUAUUCUCUGUUCACUGCAUGAGAGAGAAUAUUUAAAUAUCGCUCACAUAUCUGAGAGACCUGCUCACAGUGUAACAUCAAGACCUCCCACAGCAACAUGAUUGUAAGGAAAACUGUAGCCAGGAGAGGAACUCCAGUCUGGACCAGCAGAACACAGAUCCUCCACAGACUAAAGAGGAACAGGAAGAAAUCUCCACCAAUCAGGAAGAAGAGCAGCUUGCACUGAAGCAGGAAACCAAUGGCAUCAUCAUCUGGACCGGGCAGGAGCUGGGCAUCAUGUGGAACCCUGAAGUAAAGUUGCACAGAAUACGUAUGCAAAACCUUAAUAGAUAGAGUCGGUUUUGUAUUAAGAAAUCUAACUCAUGUUGGAUCCUAAUCAGACCUCAGAUGUAUGUUAAUGAGACACAUGAUGAAUCUAAGCACCAACUGCAACAAGGAAACUGAAUUAAUAUUCUAAGAGCCAAAAUGUCUAGCCCUUCCAAUGUCGCUCCUGUCAGGACUGUCCUAUGUUGGUCAUAAUUGUAAUAAACUUGAGCCCAAGAGAGAGGAAGACUCCCUACAAUGAGUUGAAACAUUACCUUGUUAUUUAUUCCUGC
ensembl:lncRNA